AUACUUACUUGGCAGGAGAGAUGCAGUGAUCCGGGAGGUGGCUUUCCCAGUUAGGAGCUCUUUCUUCCAUUGCACUUGGGAUAUGCUGACCAAUGAUUUCCUCAGUGCAGGAAACUCCACUAUAUAAAUUGUGAUAGUGGGGGACUGUGUUUGUGCUCUCCUCUU
ensembl:snRNA U1 U1 spliceosomal RNA